CUGGCCCUGCCGGGGUCUGGCACUGCCGGGAUCCGGCCCUGCCGUGUGACACGGCGGUCCCCGGGAUCCGCCCGUCCCGAGUACCUUUCCUGCUGCUGGUUUGCCCCAUACCAUCGUGUUGGAACUGCUGGUGUCAGGCACACACCUGCCUGCAGGUGCAGUCCCUGGUGCAGGCAGGCAGCUGAAUUUCCAUCAGCCAUUGCCCCUACAGGUGUCAGUGAGUUUGCACAUCGUAGAAGAGAUGAUGACUCACAGAAACCCACAUGGCAAAAAGAGGCUUUUUGGUCAUGAUCAGCUCAGGCUUUGCAGGGAGGUGCAGUACAGGAAAAAGAGAAAGAUUGAGAGCAGAAUCAAGAGGAAGAAUAUAGGAGCCUAAUCCUAGCCUAUUACAUGGGAAUCUGUGCUUUUGAGGAGCACCAGGCCCUGGGGCUUAUGGGAUCUGCAUCUCAUAGGACAUUCUCAUAUGGGAGGUGACACUGUCUUCAGCACAGAUUGGUCUUGGUGAUGAUUUUGAUAGGGAUUGGGGUCAUGCUAACUGGCACUAUCAGGAGUGGAUCACUGCCAAAUUAGUUUCCUGAAGUAAACAAGGAAGUUAAAACUGCACACUCAGGAAGCACCUUAGUUCAUCCCUACAGGACAGUAUCAGAAUUUAAUGCUAAAGGAGGUUUAAAAAUACUCUUGCCUAGCACAGAACGUAUCAGUCUAGACUCCCCAUCUGUUGAAUGCCUUGGAAGUAUCAGUAGCACUUCAGUAUCUGACUUAGGCAGAAAUGAUCUUGUAAAAAUGCUAAUAAUUUCUCUACGCUGUUUUGUUACGAAUGAAACUUCAAAGCUAUGAAUGCAUAUGUUUAUAUUCCAUUUCUAUUUAUGUACUUAAGCACAGACUCUCUUGUACUAUGCAUAUUCAUGUGCCAAUAUGUGCUCCAGCAAUGCCUGUAUUAAUGUACAUUCAUAUUUCUAUAAAGUGCUGGACUCAAUGGAAGUUUUGAACUAGGCUUCAUAAGGAGCUUGGAUCCAACCCUUAUUUUUAAAUAAACACUGGAUCAAAUGUCCAGGAAUUAAUUUAGUUUAUAACAUUGUAGUUGGAUUUUGAUUCUUAAGCACAAGUUUUUUUAUGAGCUGCAUCAUUUUCAGCUGCUUGUGUUGAGAUGUUUCUCUGUUGGCAGAGCUGCUUCCAUACUCCUGUCUCCAUCCUCCUUUAUCAUUCUUAUUUUCAGUGUGUUUUAAUUGUGCUCUGUAAUCCCCUAUACCAUUAUAACUGAUUAAUUAUCAAACCUUCACUUUCAGGCUCUGAAUUUUUCUCUUAGGCUCAGACCAUUUAUAAUCUCAGCUGAAAAGGCAAGAUUGAACAUCUGCCUUGUAUUUAAUCUCUUUGCAUCUUGUACUCAUCAUGAUUAUUGUUUAUUCUCUAUCAUAACUCGGGGGUUUAAGGGUGAAAUGUUACAUUAUGCAUUAUCUGGGCUCUUAGCCUGAAAAUAAAUCCAUGCAGAUAGGCCAUGGGGAAAUACAGAAAUCAAGGAGUCCACAACUUGUGGGUUUUUGUAGAAUUUUGGACUUCAGAUGUCCUUUUUUUUUUUUUUUAAUCAGCUUAAAGAAACUUUGAGUGGAAAAAGACAAUGAUGAAUUGUUUCUUUUGCAGAGCUUGCAUCAGUUUAUAUUCUCACAAUUUUCUUUGCAAAGAUAUGGGACAGAAAUAUACACAUAUCUGUAGACUUGCAGUAAGUAAACAAAUCCAACAUUUUCAUUCAGUUCUCAGAUGCCAAGAUCUGUGCUUUUCAAAAAAUCCCAUUAAGGGACCUGCGGCUGUACCAGCUGCUGGUGACACUGAAGGACCAUCCUCCUUCAGAAGCUCAGGUCUGAGCUUCCCUCAGCUCCUUGGCAAGAUUACCAUGUGAAACCUGUUUGUUCAUAGCUUCUGCAGGAGCAGUUUUCCCUGUUGCACUUACUUGCAUGUUUAUUAAUAAAGUUGGGGUUGAGAUUUUGAGGGAUCAAGUGCCUGUUUGCCAUUACCUAUUUCCAGCUGGAAAUCUUGGGAUGGCAAGCUUUCUCUUCCCCCUUACUGACUCACAGCAUGAAGAGAGAGUGGAAAUUUCCCCAACACAUUAUACAUUUGUCAGCACAGGUAGAAGAGUGGUGAAUAAAAUAAUUUCUUUGUUCAUCCCUCCUACUGUCCUAGUCACAAUCUCAAACACCAGGUAGCAUCACACAGAGGGUUUUUUUUUCCUCCAAAAGGAACGAUCUGUCUCCAAGUGUCACAUAAUUUAUGCAGAAUUGAGUUUGCUUCUCCUUUCUGCUGCAGCUGGUACCUCUGUGGCAUGUCCACCCAAGCAACCGUGUUGUCUUUGGCCUGAAUUGGGCCAUGGGCUCUCCGAUACAUAAUUUCUUUUAUUAAUUAGAUAGUGCCACCCAGCUGCUGAUGUUUCUUGCAUAUACACUUUUCUGUUAUUCAUGCUAUCUAAGCCUUUCAAAAGCUGCAGCAGCUCCAAACACAUUAUUGCAGUAGCGUUAGUGCAGGUUUUGGAAUGAUGCUGUAAUAUAUAACAUACAACAUAUACAACAAAGAUGUUGUAAUAUAUAAUAUAGUUUAAAAUAUUUUCAUUCUGGAAUUAUCGGAGGACAGAAAACAGCUCAUGUCUGUUACUUUUUAAUUUUUUUUUUUUUAUUUCUUUCAGAACUCUCUGUGGUUGUUGUAGGUAUUUGAUUAAAAAGUAAUUUCAAACACGAAUAAGAAAUAACAUGUGCAGGAAGCUGCAUUUUGGCUAGAAGUAGUAAUGUGAAGCACCUUUCUGGGGCUGUGGCUCCAGUCUGCCAGUUUCCCAAGGAGCACAGAGCCAGUGUGGCUGAGACCACAGAGCCCUGUGGCAUUUUGAAAUAGUCUCUAGGACUCAUUUCUUUUCCCAUUAAGAACUACUUUUAAAUAUUCCAGGAGGCCUUUCAGGAGAAAUGGCAUGUUCCUGUUCCAACUGCCUCUGUUUUUAGAGAUCUCUCUUGCAGGUGUUUUUUCACUUACAACUUUGCAUUGCCCAGAUGCAUUGCUCUCUUCUCACACCGGUGCAAUCUGGCUGUUGCCCUUAGCUGGUCUCUUUGAACAGUAGUGUAUCAGCAAGGAGCAGGUGAGGCUGAAUUUUGGGUCAAGUGUUUCUUCAGAAGAUGGCUCAAGAGUUGAUAGGAUUUAGGGGAGCUGCAAGACCCCACCUACAACAACCUGUCCUCCAGCAGGAGAGCUGAUGUGGUACUUGCACCUGAGACCCACGCCUGUGUCACCUUCUGCACAUGCUUUCCAUGGCCAGAAAACUCUGUUUUAUGAAGUCUAUGAAAUGUGUGUGUCUGUCCAGGUGCAAGUCAGGGCCUUCAGUUUGGUGUGUGCUAGAGAGCUGUUAAAGGGCUGGGGUCAGGAUGGUCCCAGCAGCUCCAGCUCUGCUGGAUGUGCUCACACAGACCUGUGAGAACUGCAGUUGUAGGAAGUCACACAGCCAUGGUUCUUCUGUGUCUCCUGGUGGAAUGGUAGGAGUGCAGUGGGCUGCUGGUCGCCCCAGCCCCAUCAGCAGGGAACGGGACCUGUCUUACCUGAUGAUUUUCUGAGCUUUGGGGGCAGGUUCCCACACUUGCAAAAUGGAUUUCCUCUAAAUGAAGCUCUGUUCUGAAACUGGCAAUGCUGAAAGUUAAAAUUAGUUUCUCCUUUAUUACUAGGACAUAUUUUUAGGCCCUAAUUCAUGUCUCAUGUGAACGCAGUCCUCCCACUCCCACGCUGGGAGUACUGAACUGGAGUCUGCGGGCUGUGCGUUACAUUUUCCAGAAAUAGGUGCAACCCAAGAUUUUGAAUAUUUACAUUCUCUGCCUUUUAAAAAAAUGCACUUAUUGAUUUUAGGUGCAUGUAUGAGUUUAAAAUAGUGAAAAACCAAAGUAGAAGCUGCUACCCUUUGGUUUUUUGUCACUCCGUUCUAUUUUUAUUUUGGUUGCAUGAAGGAGAACUUACCUUAGUUUGCAUCUAGGUGCUGCAAAAUGCAAAAAAAACCCCAAAAACCACAGAAUAUAAGCUCAAUUGCUAUGAAGAUAUUUUGGAUGUCUCCUGUUUUCUGUCCUCCCUUUGGAGCUCUAGAGCCUCUAAGCCCAGCCACUGGUGUGAACCCUGGUCCAGCAGCCACUGGCAUUGCCUUCCUGUCAGAGCAUCUGCAGCUGAUGUUCACAGAGGUCAUCUCUGCUAAAAUGUUCUUCUGCGAGCCCUAAUGUGCAGCAGAGGCAGUGCCUGGCCUUCAGAGGAGCUUCCAGCAGGUGCCAUCAGGCGGCAGUGAAGGGAUUUUGGAGAAAUUUAACCUGGCCGCAGGCGGGGUGGCAGAGAUGGCUGUGCAAGCUGGCAAGCAUUGGAAAGGAGCUGCAGCUGCCUGUGAUGCUGGAGCCUCUGCCCUGCAAAGCUCCUGUCCUGGUGACUCCCCACCAGCAUCCCUGGGAACACAGGCAAGGAGACCUGGAUCAGUACCACUGGCUGUGGACAAGGAGUUCAGAGGAAGCCUGCUCACUGAUAACUCUGCCAAUGCUACUUAGAAAACUGUCCAGCAGCUGACGAGCUCCAGUGAGGAAUGGAGUUCCUUUACUGUGGAAACAUGGCCCCUGUUCCCAUUAGGGCUGUUUCAAGGGCAGGGGACAGUCUUCCCCUGCCUGCUGUGCCCUCUCUAGUGUGGUGUGUUUAGUGUCUGCUUCCAGGUGUUGAUGAGUGUCCUGAGUGUUCCUGGGGUUCAUGCUGUGCUGGCAGACAGAGGGUGGCCAUGCAGCCUGUACCAGGAGCUGCCCUUAGGUGUGCAUGCCUCCCAUCCAAAGGGGUGUCUGGGCCCAGGUAUUGCAGGGAUGGGCCCUCAGAGCCACAUCACAGCAGCCACAGGCUCUUGGUGGAGAGCGCUGUGAUCUUGGACAUUGUCUGUCACCAUGUGUUCUUACCAGGCAGAUCCAUUCCAAGCAGCAGAGAAAUAGAAUUUUAGCAACCCCUCCCAAGGGCUGUCCCAGCAGCUCCGCACUGGGAAGGCAACCAAGUCCAAAAGACUCUGAUUACUGCCACUCCACAAAUUAUAAAAAGAGUAAAAUAUUUGUAUUGCCACCAAACAGGGAUGGAAUUAUACAUCACAUAAAACUUAAUGUCAUUAUUUUCUUUAAAGAAAUAAUAAAGUCUCUUACUCUGUCAUCAUACUCUGCAGACUGAUGUAAUCAAUCAAAUAACCAUUGUCUUGAAAAAGAAAAGAAAAAAAAAGUAUAUCGAGUUUGGAAAAGAUCUGUUUCAUACCAUUACAUAAAUAAGGCAAAAAUAAAUGAGACAUAGAAAAUGCAAAUCAAAUCUCGUCUUUUUUUUUAUCUAUUAUUAUGGGAACUUGCAAUAGGUAGGAUUAGAAAAUGAUCACUGAAAAAUAUUAUUGGGGUACUGAAUAUUUCAAGUCAC